rnacentral:lncRNA from 10 species
GGGGUUCCCGCCCCCAGGGUAACCAACGCUCCCUCUUAAAGGCGCCGGCCCCGGUUUUAGACCGGGAGAGGGAAGACCUACAUCUCCAGUCUUAACAUCCAACCUCCUUAGCAAUUAGUCGCAUCAGAAAGAAAGCAAGCUGAAGAAUGUCUCACCAGACCCACGUGGAUCCUGCGUUCAUCUCUGAACUAACCAUUGUAACUAUGGGAUGGAAUGCACACUGCCAGGCUGGGGUUAUUUGCCUUUAUCUACAAAAAGGUCAAGGGAAAUAAUUGUAUGUACCCUUCAUAUAUACCCAAACCACAGGGACCGAGUAGAAAGAAAGAGGUUUCCCAAAGGAAAAUUAAAGUGUUGUUAAUAAAGAAGGCAAAAGAAUGUUGAGUAGAUAAAGACUAUAAAUGCCCACUACAAUCCCCAUUCCCCAGUAUACACACAUCACCACCACUGUCACCAAGGGGACUGACCACCUCUCUGCUCCUUUACCAACAGUCUCAGGAUCAGAAGAAUGAGAAUGCUGAUGGGUCAUGGAGGUGCUAGUAAUUGAGCCAACCAGCCACAUCCUUUGGCCUCAGAGCCACUGAGAAGAUCCUGAGUGACAUUUGUGACAUUUCACAAACCACCUGCAAACAAACAAUAUAUAAACCAUGAUUGUAUUCAAUUAUUUUUCCCUAAAUUAUAAACCUGCCUCCAUGUACCUCAAGCCCAC